UUGCAUCCUACUUCCAUAUUUUUGCUACAGACGCGGUUGAUUAAUCCGGAGUGGAAUGUCCAAAUGCAAUCGCAAAUCGAGGAUUUGAUACCACGUGCAGAAACCGGGUCCUGUUCUAGCCUCAGUUACGCGUCCUGAAGAUUUUAUCGGAUUAUUUGGCCCCGAACGCUACAAAAAAGGUAUGUUCAUGAUCCGUAUGAUCGGUCAUUUUCUGGGCAUGGAGGUCCUUCGAGCCGGUUGAUGCAUUACAUAAAGAGACACCAAUACGGAAACGUGGAGCAGGAUGAUUGUGGA
rnacentral:lncRNA from 1 species